UUUUAACUCUUAAACUGUUUUCUGGGGCUCGGGGUGGGGACAUCCGGAAAUGAGGAGGGGGUUAGGGCGGGAUAAUUAUUUUAUUUAAAAAAAAAACAACAACAAAAACAUUGACCAGGAGAAGGGGUGAUGCUCCCAACAUUGUCCCGCCCACCCGCCCCUUUCUCUGCACGGAUGGACAGACGGACAUUUACAGAGCUGGGGCGGGACGAGGCCUGGGGAGGCCUGGCACUGCUCUGUCGCUUGGGGCGCUGUCUCCAAGGCAGGACGGGGACAGGGCCAGCCUCCCCCAGACCCCUCUGGCCCCCUUCUUCAGAGAGAGAGCAACUGGUCCCGGGACUAAAGGAGGUCGGGAAGACCUGAACCCUCCCCCGAGCAUCCUGCCUCCUCCUUUCUGGUUGGUCACCCCUUUUACCUCCUGUGUGUGUGUUUGGGGAGGGGUCUUUCCUUUUAACUUUGCACUCCAGCUCUUUGGGGGAGAUGGAGACUGGCUUUGAGCAAAAGCUACGGGGUCUGAGAGGUUAGGGGCGCCGGGAAGGGUUGGAGAUGGCUGGGCACAACCCAGAAAGGUCUCUCCCUUCCCCAGGUCGGGUGGUUGCCAGCUAAUAAGCCCCUUCCGCUGAGAGCUACUCCCCAGCCCACCCCACCCCACCUGGCCUGUGAAAGCCAGUCACACGCGCACCUGGCCUCACAGGCGUGUGCACUGUCCCUCGUGCCCUCAUGACUGCGCGCACAGGUCUUGCAAACUUCUGUAUAGAAACCCUGACCAGGUGAAUGGGGGGGUGAAUGACAGCACAAAAGAGCUUGCCAUAGGCGACCCCCACUCAGCCCCCUCUCCCAGCGCUUCACCUGACAGGGUCUGUCCAUCAGCGUGCUGGCGCCCUCAGUGGAGGGUGGGGGUCCGGCUGGGGCGGGGCGGCCAGAUGGCCUCCAGUGCUCCAGGGGUGGGAUGCCCUCUUGUGGUUUCACCUGGCCAGUCACGGGUGUGCAGGUGUGUGCGUGUGUGCCCUGCGCCAGCGCAGUCGUGGGUGUGCAAGUGUGUGUGUGUGUGUGCCCUGACCAGCGCAGUCACAGGCGUGCAAGUGUGCAUGUGUGCCCUGCAUCAAGCUUGGAGGCACUUGGGUUCCAUUCCUCUCCUGCGCGCCCCCUCCCCGCCGGGGCCCCUGUUCUCUCUGACUCAGGUGACUUUCCAGCCCUUCCCCUCCCCUCUUUUUCUGCGCCCCCCCCCCCAACUCAGCCAACCAGACGUGGGUGUGGGUGGUCAGGGAGGGAGAGAGCGUCCCACCACCUUCUCAGGGCAGCCCUUGACUCCUAAUACCCUUCCUCCUCCUGUUCUGGGUCUCCUCCGCAUCCACCCUCAAUGCUGCAGCUGGGACUAA
rnacentral:lncRNA from 1 species